rnacentral:rRNA from 1 species
UUAAGCUCUCUAGCGCCGAUGGUAGUUGGGACCUUGUCCCUGUGAGAGUAGGACGUCGCCAAGCAAGAACCUAAGUCAUUUUGACUUAGGUUUUUUUGUGUUUAUUUCUAUUUACCGAAUGUUAUAAUCCAUAAAUUUAAUAAAGCUAAAGACGAAAAAAGAAUGAAAUAGAGACUGUUUAAAAUAAUAGCAAUAACUUUUAGUGUUCCUGAUUUUCCUAAUGCCACUAAAGUAAUACUUAAAAUAGGACACAUUAUUUCUAUCAUAAGUAUAUAUUUUAAAUAAUGAGAUGCUAUAAAUAAGUAUUUAAUAAUUACAGAAAUUACUGCAAUAGAGAAAAAUAAAUAGGAUGAUAGCAUAGUUCUUUCUUUAACAGUUAUCCUCCUUAGAAAUUAAAUCGUUAUAAUAAUACAAGAGUAUAUAUAUUUUGAUUUAAAACAUACUGAAGUGCCAUUUAAACGAUUAUACGUAAAAUAGAUGUCUAGAAAUAUAUAUUCUAAUUCCCUUUUCUUCUUGCAUAUAGUUGCAAUUCUUCUUUUGAAUAUAACUAAAACACGAACGUUAUUGACUACUAAUAAAAAAACAUUCGAUUAUUUAUUGACAUUGUUUAUGAAAUAUUGUUAAUAUAGCCAUAGAAACAAUAAUAUAAGACCUCAUAUAAUCGCGGGGAUAUGGCCUGCAAGUCUCUACCUAACGACCGUUAUUCGUUAGACUAUGAGGGAAAGUCACUCGGUAUUUUUCUAUUCACAAGGGAUACGUAUGCCUGAGUAGAGCGCUUUCUCUCAUAGUAAAAGAGAAACUGUUCUAUUUCAGGCUUUUUUUAUUUGAAUCGGGGGGAUUCUAAUAUGAAAUCACUAGUUGGAGUCAUAAUGGGAAGCACGUCAGACUGGGAAACAAUGAAAUAUGCUUGUGACAUUUUAGAUGAAUUAAAUAUACCGUAUGAGAAAAANAAGGCUGAGCUGUGAUGGGGAAGCUCCUUAUGGAGCGAAGUCUUUGAUUCCCCGCUGCCAAGAAAAGCUUCUAGCGAGAUAAAAGGUGCCUGUACCGCAAACCGACACAGGUAGGCGAGGAGAGAAUCCUAAGGUGUGCGAGAGAACUCUGGUUAAGGAACUCGGCAAAAUGACCCCGUAACUUCGGGAGAAGGGGUGCUUUCUUAACGGAAAGCCGCAGUGAAUAGGCCCAAGCGACUGUUUAGCAAAAACACAGCUCUCUGCGAAGCCGUAAGGCGAAGUAUAGGGGGUGACACCUGCCCGGUGCUGGAAGGUUAAGGAGAGGGGUUAGCGUAAGCGAAGCUCUGAACUGAAGCCCCAGUAAACGGCGGCCGUAACUAUAACGGUCCUAAGGUAGCGAAAUUCCUUGUCGGGUAAGUUCCGACCCGCACGAAAGGUGUAACGAUUUGGGCACUGUCUCAACCAGAGACUCGGUGAAAUUAUAGUACCUGUGAAGAUGCAGGUUACCCGCGACAGGACGGAAAGACCCCGUGGAGCUUUACUGUAGCCUGAUAUUGAAUUUUGGUACAGUUUGUACAGGAUAGGCGGGAGCCAUUGAAACCGGAGCGCUAGCUUCGGUGGAGGCGCUGGUGGGAUACCGCCCUGACUGUAUUGAAAUUCUAACCUACGGGUCUUAUCGACCCGGGAGACAGUGUCAGGUGGGCAGUUUGACUGGGGCGGUCGCCUCCUAAAGUGUAACGGAGGCGCCCAAAGGUUCCCUCAGAAUGGUUGGAAAUCAUUCGUAGAGUGCAAAGGCAUAAGGGAGCUUGACUGCGAGACCUACAAGUCGAGCAGGGACGAAAGUCGGGCUUAGUGAUCCGGUGGUUCCGCAUGGAAGGGCCAUCGCUCAACGGAUAAAAGCUACCCCGGGGAUAACAGGCUUAUCUCCCCCAAGAGUCCACAUCGACGGGGAGGUUUGGCACCUCGAUGUCGGCUCAUCGCAUCCUGGGGCUGUAGUCGGUCCCAAGGGUUGGGCUGUUCGCCCAUUAAAGCGGUACGCGAGCUGGGUUCAGAACGUCGUGAGACAGUUCGGUCCCUAUCCGUCGUGGGCGUAGGAAAUUUGAGAGGAGCUGUCCUUAGUACGAGAGGACCGGGAUGGACGCACCGCUGGUGUACCAGUUGUUCUGCCAAGGGCAUAGCUGGGUAGCUAUGUGCGGAAGGGAUAAGUGCUGAAAGCAUCUAAGCAUGAAGCCCCCCUCAAGAUGAGAUUUCCCAUAGCGUAAGCUAGUAAGAUCCCUGAAAGAUGAUCAGGUUGAUAGGUUCGAGGUGGAAGCAUGGUGACAUGUGGAGCUGACGAAUACUAAUAGAUCGAGGACUUAACCAU